rnacentral:rRNA from 1 species
AUAUCAGUCAUGCAUAGCAUAUCAAUAAGCGGAGGAAAAGAAACUAACAAGGAUUCCCCUUAGUAACGGCGAGUGAAGCGGGAAGAGCUCAAAUUUGAAAUCUUCAAGGGUUCUACCUUGACGAAUUGUAGUUUAUAAGAAGUGUUUUCUGUUAGUAGAGGUGGCUAAAAGUUCUUUGGAAUAGGACAUCAUAGAGGGUGAGAAUCCCGUAUUUGAUCAUUCUUUCUAACGUUGUGAUACACUUUCAACGAGUCGGAUUGUUUGGGAAUGCAGUCCAAAAUGGGUGGUAAAUUUCAUCUAAAGCUAAAUAUUGGCGAGAGACCGAUAGCGAACAAGUACCGUGAGGGAAAGAUGAAAAGAACUUUGAAAAGAGAGUUAAACAGUACGUGAAAUUGUCAAAAGGGAAGCGUUUGACACCAGUGUUGUUUUUCCGAAAAUCAAUUACUGAAUGGUUUGAUUUUUAGAGUUUAUGACCUUCAAUCGCUUGCUCCUUAUCUUUACGAUCUUUCGUAAUGCACUUUUCGGUUAACAAGUCAACAUCAAUUUCUUUUGUUGUAAAAGGUAAUGAGGAAGGUGGCUUUACUUUAGGAGUAAAGUGUUUAUAGCCUUUUAACUCUGCAAUCGGAGAGAUUGAGGUCUGCAGCGUAGAUCCUUCGGGGUUAGAUACAUUUGUGCUAGGUUAUAGUCUUUUAUAGACAACUUGUUGACUAUGAUUGAGUCCUUGUACUUACUCGCAGUAUGCUAUUUUACCUACGCUUAGGAUGUUGAUCUCUCACAGUCGAGC